AUGGCAGCAGCAGCUACCGGUGCUGCAUCGGCCGCCGCUGCGCCAGCUACGCAUCACGCUGCCCACCCCAUGAACGCCCUCCGCUCCACCGCCCUCCGCCGCUCCACCCUCCAUUGGGACGCCGCCGCGGCCUUCUUCUCCCCGCCCUUCCGCUCUCGCCGCUGCCACCGACGUGCCUUGCUCCCUCCUGCUGCGGCGCUGCCCGCGAAGUCCCGCUCCAGGGCCAAGGCCAAGCUCCUGGCGGACGCGGGGGCUGUGGACCCCUGGCUCGCCUCCCUCUCCCUGCUCCCCGCCGACGGCAGCGACGCCGCCGCCGCCCCCGCCCCCACCGGCUGGGCGAUUGGGAUCGAUCCAGACACUCGCGGCGCCAUCGCCGUUCUCUCACCCGACGGCUCCUCUCAGGUGUUCGAUAACCCGUUCGUGAACAUAAUGGUGUCGGAGCUCACCCGGAAGCGCCUAGACACCAGGUCCAUCAUACAGCUUCUCCGUGGCCUUGAUGCGCCUCCAGGAACUACAGCGUUUAUUGAGAAGUCAAGUCCAUUUCCAACUGAUGGAAAGCUGGGAUGGUGGAGUACAGGUUUUUCGUAUGGCUUGUGGAUUGCUGCUCUAGUGGCAUCUGAGUUUUCUGUUGUACCGGUUGCAUCACAGACAUGGAAAUCGUACUUUGGGCUAACUCGAAGUGCAUCACCUAAGGAUGAUAGCAGACGAGCUGCUACAAUCUUGUUCCCGGAUAAGGCUCUGUCCCUCAAGUUGAAGAAACAUCACGGGCGAGCAGAGGCUCUUCUGUUAGCGGCCUAUGGAAAAGGACUCGUGCUACCAUCAAAGAAGUUCAGCAAAACACAAAGAGUGCUGAAGCAAGAAACCAACUUGACAUUGACAGGGAUGCCUGAUUGA
rnacentral:rRNA from 1 species